rnacentral:rRNA from 1 species
CCUACGGGUGGCAGCAGUGGGGAAUAUUGGGCAAUGGGCGCAAGCCUGACCCAGCAAUGCCGCGUGAAGGAAGAAGGCUUUCGGGUUGUCAACUUCUUUUAGUUGGGAAUAAAAGGGGGCUCGUGAGCCCCGUAUUGUAUGUACCAUCAGAAAAAGGACAGGUUAAUGCCGUGCCAGCAGCCGCGGUCAUACGGAAGGUCCGGGCGUUAUCCGGAUUUAUUGGGUUUAAAGGGAGCGUAGGCCGGCUUUUAAGUCAGCGGUGAAAGUCCGCGGCUCAACCGUGGAAUUGCAGUUGAAACUGGAUGCCUUGAGUGCACACAGGGAUGCCGGAAUUCAUGGUGUAGCGGUGAAAUGCUUAGAUACCAUGAAGAACUCCGAUCGCGAAGGAAAGUGUCCGGGGUGCAACUGACGCUGAGGCUCGAAAGUGCGGGUAUCAAACAGGAUUAGAGACCCGGGUAGUC